CCUACGGGAGGCAGCAGUGGGGAAUAUUGCGCAAUGGGGGCAACCCUGACGCAGCAACGCCGCGUGAUUGAAGAAGGCCUUCGGGUUGUAAAGAUCUUUAAUUGGGGACGAAAACAAUGACGUUACCCAAAGAAUCAGCUCCGGCUAACUACGUGCCAGCAGCCGCGGUAAUACGUAGGGAGCAAGCGUUAUCCGCAUUGACUGGGUGUAAAGUGCGAGUAUGCGGGCUGGCAAGUUGGGAGUGAAAUCCCGGGGCUUAACCCCGGAACUGCGUUCAAAACUGCUGGUCUUGAGUGAUGGAGAGGCAGGUGGAAUUCCGGGUGUAGCGGUGAAAUGCGUAGAGAUACGGAGGAACACCAGUGGCGAAGGCGGCCUGCUGGACAUUAACUGACGCUGAGGAGCGAAAGCGUGGGGAGCAAACAGGAUUAGAUACCCGGGUAGUC
rnacentral:rRNA from 1 species